rnacentral:rRNA from 1 species
AGCGGCGAACGGGUGAGUAACACGUAGGUGAUCUGCCCAUCAGACGGGGACAACGAUUGGAAACGAUCGCUAAUACCGGAUAGGACGAAAGUUUAAAGGUGCUUCUGGCACCGCUGAUGGAUGAGCCUGCGGCGCAUUAGCUAGUUGGUAGGGUAAAGGCCUACCAAGGCGACGAUGCGUAGCCGACCUGAGAGGGUGAACGGCCACACUGGGACUGAGACACGGCCCAGACUCCUACGGGAGGCAGCAGUAGGGAAUCUUCGGCAAUGGGCGAAAGCCUGACCGAGCAACGCCGCGUGAAUGAUGAAGGCCUUCGGGUUGUAAAAUUCUGUUAUAAGGGAAGAACGACUUUAGUAGGAAAUGGCUAGAGUGUGACGGUACCUUAUGAGAAAGCCACGGCUAACUACGUGCCAGCAGCCGCGGUAAUACGUAGGUGGCGAGCGUUAUCCGGAAUUAUUGGGCGUAAAGAGCGCGCAGGUGGUUGAUUAAGUCUGAUGUGAAAGCCCACGGCUUAACCGUGGAGGGUCAUUGGAAACUGGUCGACUUGAGUGCAGAAGAGGGAAGUGGAAUUCCAUGUGUAGCGGUGAAAUGCGUAGAGAUAUGGAGGAACACCAGUGGCGAAGGCGGCUUCCUGGUCUGUAACUGACACUGAGGCGCGAAAGCGUGGGGAGCAAACAGGAUUAGAUACCCUGGUAGUCCACGCCGUAAACGAUGAG